AUUGAACGCUGGCGGCAGGCUUAACACAUGCAAGUCGAGCGGGGUGAUGGUGCUUGCACUAUCACUUAGCGGCGGACGGGUGAGUAAUGCUUAGGAAUCUGCCUAUUAGUGGGGGACAGCAUCUCGAAAGGGAUGCUAAUACCGCAUACGUCCUACGGGAGAAAGCAGGGGAUCACUUGUGACCUUGCGCUAAUAGAUGAGCCUAAGUCGGAUUAGCUAGUUGGUGGGGUAAAGGCCUACCAAGGCGACGAUCUGUAGCGGGUCUGAGAGGAUGAUCCGCCACACUGGGACUGAGAACCGGCCCAGACUCCUACGGGAGGCAGCCGUGGGGAAUAUUGGACAAUGGGGGGAACCCUGAUCCAGCCAUGCCGCGUGUGUGAAGAAGGCCUUAUGGUUGUAAAGCACUUUAAGCGAGGAGGAGGCUCUUUUGGUUAAUACCCAAGAUGAGUGGACGUUACUCGCAGAAUAAGCACCGGCUAACUCUGUGCCAGCCGCCGCGGUAA
rnacentral:rRNA from 1 species